CCUGCUUUGUUGUAAUGAAGAUGAUGUCAAGGCAGUUUGGUGUUUUUGGGACUUUUAUGUCAACUAUUGAAUUAAAAUGUCAUAUUGCAUUUUGGGGUCAAAACUAAUUUAGUGAUAAUAGUAACAAUAAUGGUUUGCCAGUCUAUUCCAGCUUGUAACCACAUCACAGGUUUAGCAUUAAAUUAAUAUUAUUUUUUUUCAUAAUUCAGAUUUACAUGGAAGGCCAACAUAUAUAUUAAAUACUUUGACAGGUUUUAAAUAAAUAUAUUUAGUCAUGAAAUUCAGUACACAAGUAACUUCAGUACACAAGUAACUUUAUACAUUCCUUUGAUGCAUAAUUUUCCUGACCGGAAUGCAGUCAGCAAUGUAAGCAACAUUUUUGCAUAAAUUAAUCAUUAUAGAAACCUCCAUUUUUGAAAUGCUGCUUGCUUUCAAUGUACUGUAAAAUGAUGCACAGUGCAAUGCAAAAAAUAUUACAUAGGUACUUCUAUUUUAAUUUUAUGACUACAUAAGCUUAAGCUAAACAACAUCAUAUCAAGGUAUACACUAUAAAUAAA